GACGAACGCUGGCGGCGUGCUUAACACAUGCAAGUCGAACGGAAAGGCCCUGCUUUUGUGGCGUGCUCGAUUGGCGAACGGGUGAGUAACACGUGAGUAACCUGUCCUUGACUUUGGGAUAACUUCAGGAAACUGGGGAUAAUAUCGGAUAUGAGCUCCUGCUGCAUGGUGUGCGUUGGAAAGUUUCGGCGGUUGGGGAUGGACUCGCUGCUUAUCAGCUUGUUGGUGGGGUAGUGACUUACCAAGGCUUUGACGGGUAGCACGCCUGAGAGGUGGACCGGCCACAUGAGGACUAAGAUACGGCCCAGUCUCCUACGGGAGGCAGCAGGGGGGAAUAUGACGCAAUGGGCGGAAGCGUGUUGCAGAAGCGCCGCGAGCGUGAUGACGGCCUACGGGUUGUAAACCGCUUUCGCCUGUGACGAAGCGUGAGUGACGGUAAUUGGUAAAGAAGCACCGGCUAACUACGUG
rnacentral:rRNA from 1 species